UUACAGCCAGUCUCCGCCACCAGGGAGCUCACUUCUUUUCAGCUUUUCUGAGUGAUUGCAGCCAUUUACACAGAUGUUGAUGACUUAAACCCUUGGUACUUUUGAGUCCCAAAGUCCACUGUCAUCAUGUCUGACACAGAGGAUGU